UUAUAUUUUACUUUGUGUAUUUCAAGUUUCAGAUAUAAGGGGUCAAGACUAAUAGUGACCAGCCUUCGUUCAUUUGAUAAACCUUUAUUAAACACAACUGUGGCCUUGUUCUAGGCAGCAUGAAUAGAAUGAUUUACAAACGUCGCUGCUCUUCGAGCAGUCACUGCUUUAUAGGGGAACUCGAGAAGCAGUCAGGAAGGAAGGUCUCGGAGGAGACGGCCCUGAAACGGAAUCAGACUUUAAAAGAUAAGUUGGGUUUCUCGCUCUGUUGUCCAGGCCGGAGUGCAGUGAUGCAGUUACAGCUCACUGCAGCCUCAAACUCCUGGGCUCAAGCGAUCCUCCCACUUCAGCCUCCUGAAUAGCUGGGACUACAGGUGAGUACCAACACUCCC
rnacentral:lncRNA from 1 species